rnacentral:piRNA from 1 species
UGUUGGACGAUGGUUUUCGAUGGUACA